UUUUAUGCCUAAUUCUUUCUCUUCCACCGCUUUUCUCCUUCGCAGGGGUUGAAACCACCACCUCCCGCUCUACUCACAGCGUGGAAAAUACCCAGACGCACUUAAAAAAAAAAAAAACCAACCAAAAACUAAACAAAAACCAAAAAGCCAAAACACCCAGGAUUGAUUUAUCUUCAGAGCCGGAGUGGUGCACGGAAGAAGCCGUCGCCGCUCGCCUUGCUCCUCACGACAACCUGCCCGCCAUUCGGUUAAUUAAAAGCAUGUCCUUUGUGCGAUCAGAUGUGGUAAUACCGUAAAAAAAACCCCAAAACAUACAAACGCUCGUUGUUGGCGGCUGCAUCCAAGGUAUCAUAAUGUUGCAGGCUGCUUUUUCCCAGCACAUCCCUUCCCUGACCCAGGUAGCCAGGUAGAUGUUUUAAUAUUAUGGGUGAAAGCUGUCUUCUGCCUUAUUUUUUUUUCCUUCCCAGGGAAAUGGAGGAUUGUUUGUGUAACCCCUCUCCACAGCAGAUACCACCUUUGUAAGUAUUGUAAACACGCAGCAAUCAAAGAGCCGUCGGGCAGUCGGAUCUGGCCUUAAAGAGGUGCGUAGGGCACAGUACUCUGGUUGUUUAAGUGUGUGUUGUACACGGGCCACAGAAACCCACAAUGUUUCUGUGGUUACUUGUGUCUGGAUAGCAUGAGUAGGUCCCAGGGCUUCCCCUUCCCACCGCUUACUAUUUCACAAAAGCAAAGGCUGGUGCUUCUGGAAAAAGCUCUGCCUUGUGGCCUUUUUAAAAAAAAAUAAUAAAGCAAAACUGCUGUGGAUUAGUCAUCCUUAUUUUUAAAGGAAGCAGUGUUUGCCAGUCCUAUCUGUAUAAUGCAUGUGCGUGUGAGAUCUUAGCUAUUAGCUUUAUUUGCGAAGGCUGGUAACGCGCUCUGGUCGCUGCUCUUUGGAGCAGUGCCACCGAGGCUCUAUCGGGCUGCUGCUGGCAGGUGGAAAAACUGACAGUCCAGCUUUUCAUACCCUUCCCUCCAUUUUUCCUUUUUCAGUGCUGGUAUCUCGGCAUUGGCAGGUGUGGAAACGUAGAGACCGUAACAACAAUAAGCAAGGACAGACGAGCUGUCUUCUGGGGUCACUUCCAAUUCCAGAGAAGAAACCCUGGUGAUUUAGAUUAUUUUUUUUCUUGCCUGUGGUAUCUUUUACUCUAAGCUCCACUGUAUCUUGUGAGAAGACAGAGUUUGACCCUUUUGGAUGCUAAAAUUGGUACUGGUUUUAAAUCUUCGUGUUUUUUUCCCUUCCCUGUGGUCACGUAGAAGAGCAAGCCAUGUGCAAUUAAAAUGGUAUAGUGAAGGACAGCUCCCUCCCCCUUUCCCCUUUCAAAAAAAACCCUUCCAGAGUUGUGUGCUCUUGAACUGCUGCAUAGGCAGAAAACAUACAAUGCAGUUGUCAGCAUUGUGCUGAUGUGUGGCACAUUUAAAAUAAAAAAAAUACACACAAAAGGGGUGGGGAGAACGGUUGCCUCCAGGGAGUAAAACUGUGGGGCCCCUUUACCUAGAAGCAAACAGUCCUACACAUGAUAGUAUAUCAUUCCUAAUUUUGCUCAGGCAAAGGCAGUGGGCUAAUGUCGGAGGGAGUGUUGCAACAUCCUAAAUCGUGCUGGUGAAGAUCAGGGUCCCCUUGAACUAUUUUUUUUUUCCUGUGAACUUGCUCCUGCGAGAUGCUGCUAUUUUAUUACUUGAUUCCUCCAAGUUGUGCUCACUCACCAGGAAGAAGUAAAAUGCUUCCUUAUUGGGUGCAGUUUCUUUUGUUGUGUUGCAAAAGGUAAUAAAAAACACCCGGUGCUGGUCUCUCCUAGGUCACACAUGACUUCAAGGUGCAGAGUCUUGGCAAUCAUUAGUGCACAAGGAGUGUUAGGUAUUGGCGCCUUCUCAUUAGCCUCCCCUAAUGAGAAUAUUGGCAUCGGUGUUGCAUGAAUGCCGCUGGCUGACCAGUGGAGAGGCCCUGCCCUGCUAAGCUGGAGCAACGCCUCAUGAGAAAUACAGUGGUUUUGCUGCCAGCGAGGCAGUCUGGUUGCUGCAGUGAUUUGUAGCACAACUGUAACUUUACGCUUUUCUGGCAAAAAUUUAGCAGAGGGUAAGUAUGAGGUGUCCGGGCCAGGUUUCAUACUGAGCUCCCCACGGUGGAGAGCUGGGGAAAGUCGGUGUGUGGUGUACGUGAAAAUUGCCAAUAGCUCCUGUGACUAAAGCCUCGUCUAUACUCAAACCAGCGUGGACGGGGUUGUUAAUUUUAUUCUCUUGUUAGGGAUGUGUUGGUUUGGAGAUAUGCCUUGUGCUCAUCAGAGGCCUUUGCUGGCAUGGAGAUACAGCGGACCAAGAACCUGGCUGUUGGGGAUGUUUCCACGUUUUUCAGGUUGGCACACCCUGCAGGACUCGGAAUUACUUUUCUUUGGCAGUUUAGGACAACUGAGUGAGAAUUACCUUGUGAGCGCUGAACUUUUACACCCCUCUGCUUUGGACUGAAGAGUAACUGCAACUCCAUCCAUGAGGUUUCCAAGCUAAACAAAACCAGAAUUUCCGGUGCCAAAAAGCAAGCGAGUGAUAGAAACCUCUGCUCCUCCUCCGUGAGGGGGGAGACUGCAGCCUUUCAGGCUUUCCUAUUUUCCUGAAGAGUUAAAAAGCUGCAUCAAGAGAUCUGCAGAGGUAACGUGAAAGCCAAAGCUCGCUGAGAAACUGUUCUCUUGUGCUGUAUUGCUGGAGCGGUUUGUGAACGCAGCGGGUCUCGAUGCACAAGUAUUUUUCUUUUGUGCCUUCCUCUGAAGUGAAAAAGCAAUAACUGUGCAAACAUGCUCUGUUUAAAACACCA